rnacentral:sRNA from 1 species
UGCAGGGUAAUUAGACUGGCACGGGCGUCGGGGUUUUUACCUCUACGCCCGUGCUCGCAUGUUAAGGGCUAUUAAAAGAAA